rnacentral:rRNA from 1 species
AACGCGAAGAACCUUACCAGGUCUUGACAUACCAUUGACCGUUCUAGAGAUAGGAUUUUCCCUUCGGGGACAAUGGAUACAGGUGGUGCAUGGUUGUCGUCAGCUCGUGUCGUGAGAUGUUGGGUUAAGUCCCGCAACGAGCGCAACCCCUGUCGUUAGUUGCCAGCAUUCAGUUGGGGACUCUAACGAGACUGCCAGUGACAAACUGGAGGAAGGUGGGGAUGACGUCAAAUCAUCAUGCCCCUUAUGACCUGGGCUACACACGUGCUACAAUGGUUGGUACAAAGAGAAGCGAAGCGGUGACGUGGAGCAAACCUCAUAAAGCCAAUCUCAGUUCGGAUUGUAGGCUGCAACUCGCCUACAUGAAGUUGGAAUCGCUAGUAAUCGCGAAUCAGAAUAUCGCGGUGAAUACGUUACCGGGCCUGUACACACCG